UAAUAUGAAGCAAUAAUUGCAACUAGUUUCGACCUAGUAUUUUGAUAAUAAUUAUCCAUAUUAU
rnacentral:tRNA from 1 species